rnacentral:lncRNA from 1 species
AGGCGACACGUGGACUUUUGGGUAAAAAAGACAAAAUUACCCUUAAGGUACACUGGGAUUCCCACGCGCAUGUAACAUAUGAUAACGGCUCAAUCAAGGUCAAAGGUGAUCAAAAUGAUAUUUUUUUAAAACCCUCUCAUCAUUCCUCAUCAAAUCUUCACCCACAAGGUAACACUUAAUUAUUCUUUUCAAUUGGGAUUAAUUGCCAAAAUCAAUUGAUUAAAUACCUAAUUGAUUGCAAGAUAUUAUUUGGCAUAAUAUAUUGCAAUUAAAGCCAAAUUACCACCAUAAGUGGCUAGUCCCCAUUUCUCCAAAUAGGGCCGGCCACACGCCUAUAUAUAGCCCUUCAUUUCUUCAAAAAUCUAAGUCCAAUUCUCUUCUAAAAUUCUCUAAACACUUUCUCUCUCAAAUUCUAACUUUGGCAUCGAAGAUUCUUUGGCCAAAGCCCCCAUUCAUCGUGGGCGAGUGAGGCUCUUGACCUUGAUCUUAGGUGUUAAUUGUUUUGUAGGUGCAUUUUCGUCCAAGAAGGAGAAAGC